CCCCCUUUGGCACAGUGGCAGCGCGCUCCUACCAACCCGACCCGAAAGGGAUGCGGAUGUGAGUCGGAGGUCUUGAUCCAGGUUCCAGUCCUGGAAGAGGGG